rnacentral:rRNA from 1 species
AUACGGAGGGUGCAAGCGUUACUCGGAAUCACUGGGCGUAAAGCGCGCGCAGGCGGCUAUUUAAGUUGGAUGUGAAAGCCUACGGCUCAACCGUAGAACUGCAUCCAAAACUAUUUAGCUAGAGUGUGGGAGAGGAAGAUGGAAUUAGUUGCGUAGGGGUAAAAUCCGUAGAGAUAACUAGGAAUACCAAAAGCGAAGGCAAUCUUCUGGAACACUACUGACGCUGAGGCGCGAAAGCGUGGGGAGCAAACAGGAUUAGAAACCCUAGUAGUCC